AUGAUCGGUGGGGAAACGUCUCUCACCUCUUGCUCCAGAAAGACCAGGAGCACCACGGUCUCCAGGAACACCCUGUUCACCGGAGUUGCCUGCAGUGGGGCUGGCAAGUCCAGGGGGGUCCCUGACCUCCUGCUUCUCCAUCCUUGCCAACAGGACCAACAGUCCCAGGGGGUCCAGGACCAUCUCCCUCUCUGGCUUUGCCAGGCUCUCCAGCAGCACCCAGUCCACAAUGCUCACCAGGGUUCCAGGCAGGCCAGCAGGUCGGGGUUCACCUUGGGCUCCCCACUUCCCUUCUCCAGCAGGGCCAGGGGGACCUUGAAUACCAAUGGGCUGGGCUGUCCCUGCCACCAGCAUCUCUUUUGCUGCCAGGAGCACCAGGUUCAUUCCUGGUCCUCCUGGGACAUGAGAGGCCACUGGGGCCUGAGGCCCAGAGGGGCUCCUCGGGGACCAACUUCACCCUUAGCACCAACAGCUCCAGGGAAGCCAGGAGGCUCACCAGGGCCAGUGGGACCAGCAGCACCAGCAGCAGCAGCAUCAUUUCCACAGGCAUCAGCAGGGCCAGGAGGUCCCGGGUGACCUCUCUCACUGUGGGGGCCCAUCUGACCAGGAGCUCCAUUUUCGCCAGGGCUGCCAGGCUUUCCAACUGCGCCAUUCUUGCCAAGGGGGUUGGGGGGGCCAUGGGGACCCAUGGGACCUGAGGCUCCAGGCUUACCCAGGCGGGCUGGGAAAACUUGGGGUCCCGGUGCACCACUGUCUCCUUUGUAUCCCUCGAUUCCCAUGGUGUCCUGGUCCAUGGCAGGCACCUUGCCUUUGGGGAACCCUUUCUCCAUACAUGAGGGAGGGUCUUCACAGCAUUCUCACCCGCCUCUGAUGUUAAGGGGAACGGCUUCUUGUGGGGCUAUUCCGGCCCAGGUCAUUCCUGUGGCCAGGCCUGGAACCCCCAUAUUCCACACUCCAGGGUCCACUAAGGCUUCUACCUCAGCUGCGGCGUCCGUCGGUUCCUCGCUGGUUUCUGUUAGAACCACAUGGUGAUGAGGGUGGGUCCCUUGCUCCGCCAGAAACAGAGGGACCCCUAACUCUGGGAAUCAAUC
rnacentral:lncRNA from 1 species